rnacentral:lncRNA from 1 species
UAUAAUGGUUGUUGUUUGAACUAUUAGGUCUAUGUGGUCUACUGUCUGUGUGAACUUCAUGUAAUGUCACCAGUUUGUGUGAACUACUGUCUAUCUGAACUAUGUUGGUUGCUAUCUAUGAACCAUGUUGGUCUAUGAACAUAUCUAAUCUAGACAUAAUAUCACAUUGCCAUGAAAAAAUUCAGCACAAAUUCAACCUAAUUGGAUUCAAAUUGUCAACAACACAAUUGAAUUACAACCAAGUUCAGCGCAGAUUCACUACUCUGCAAGGUACAAGAACUGCAAAUCACAACUCAUUCACUUCCACAUUGCUCUCACUAACAUGC